UCUGGAGUCAGUCCUUAUAUUGAUGUGUGCUCAGCCUACUGCAACGCCAGCAUGUUCAGUAGCUGUACGUGCAUAAGGAACAAUACAAUGUUGAAGUGUGAGGGAAAGUCUCUCGGAAUCUUCUUAGAAAUGAAUGUGAAGAAAUCAAAUCUCAACAGCAGUUGUUCUAUUUCUUUCAGUCAAACUUAUGAAAAUGUUGGAUUUUGUCGAACAGAACUUAAUAGUUUGGAAACUUUGCUAGGAGACCACAAUACGGAAGGGAGUACGAUGAAGUUUUAUUUUCCGGAUAGUGAUUCACAUAAUAAACCCCAAGUAAAUUUCAAUGUGAGCUGUAAUAAGCAUGAAAAUUACACACAGAUUUUAAAACUAGAAAAAGUGUCUAGUACUAAACCUCCA